rnacentral:rRNA from 1 species
UUAAAUGGCCGCAGUAUUUUGACUGUGCAAAGGUAGCAUAAUCAUUAGUUUCUUAAUUAGAAGCUGGAAUGAAAGGUUGAACGAAAAAAUAACUGUCUCUUUAUAAAUUUUUUAGAAUUUUAUUUUUAAGUUAAAAAGCUUAAAUUUAUUUAAAAGACGAGAAGACCCUAUAGAGUUUUAUAUAAAUUAUUAUGAUAUCAAUUAUUUUUGAUAUUAAAAAUUUUAUAAUAAUUUAUAUUUAGUUGGGGUGAUUGAAAAAUUUAAUAAACUUUUUUUUUAUAUAAACAUUUUUAUAUGAUUUAUUGAUCCAUUAUUUAUGAUUAAAAGAUUAAAUUACCUUAGGGAUAACAGCGUAAUUUCUUUUUAGAGUUCAAAUCGAUAAAGAAGUUUGCGACCUCGAUGUUGGAUUAAAAUAUAGUUUUGGUGUAGAAGCUAAAAUAUUAGGUCUGUUCGACCUUUAAAAUUUUACAUGAUCUGAGUUUAAACCGGUGUAAGCCAGGUUGGUUUCUAUCUUUAAAUAAUUAAAAUAUUUUAGUACGAAAGGACCAAAUAUUUAAAAAAUUUUUUAAAUAUUUGAAUAAUAAUAAUUU